rnacentral:rRNA from 1 species
AUGGCCAGCGACGACGAUUGCUACGACUACGAGUAUGACUACGACGAAGACGAGGAGGAGGAGGAGGAGGCUAUGGAGGCCGACGAGGACGGCCUGUUCGAGGACGACACGCCGAUGCCGGAUCGCCCCGCCGAUUGCUGGGCAAUUACACAAGAGUCUCUUUCCACUGCACAGCAACAAGAUCUAUCCAUGGUAAUGAACUUGCUCAACGUCAAGCAGCACAACGCUCGUGCUCUCCUCAUCCACCAUCGGUGGAAGAUAGACUGCAUCUACGACCACCUCGACAGGAAGGGGCGAGACCGCAUGUUCAGAGAGGCAGGCAUCGUGCUUCAGGAGAAUAUCAACGGCAAGGCGCUGCCCUCAAGAGUGGUGAACUGCAUGGUGUGCUUUGAUGAAUUCUCUGUGGGUGCCGUCUCCAUCAUGGAAUGUGGCCAUUAUUUCUGCAAUGACUGUUGGACGGAGCACUUCAAGGCGUCUGUGGAUAGCGGCAAGAAGCAGAUCCGGUGCAUGGGGGUGAAGUGCCCGGUGGUGUGCGACGAGGCCGUGGUGCAGCAGCUCCUCGCCGGCAAGUACCCCGACGCGGCCAGGCGCUUCGACCGCUUCCUCCUCGAGUCGUACCUCGAGAACAACGAGUCGGUGAAGUGGUGCCCGAGCGUCCCGCACUGCGGCCGCGCGAUCCGCGUGGGCGCCGGCGAGCGCUACACCGAGGUGGAGUGCCCCUGCGGCCUGGGCUUCUGCUUCGCGUGCGCGGCCGCCGCGCACUCGCCGUGCCCCUGCACCAUGUGGGACAUGUGGGAGGUCAAGUGCAACGGCGAGUCGGAGACCGUCAACUGGAUCCUCGCCAACACCAAGAGCUGCCCCAAGUGCUUCAAGCCCAUCGUCAAGGACGGCGGCUGCAACCUCGUCACCUGCAAGUGCGGCCAGCAUCUAUGUUGGAAGUGCGGCGGCGCGACGGGGUUCGCGCACAACUGGGACAGCAUCGACGGCCACAGCUGCAACCGCUUCGUGGGGGAGGAGAAGAAGAAGGUGGACAACGCCAAGCGCAACCUGCACCGCUACACGCACUACUACGACCGCUUCAAGAUCCACGGCGACUCCCACAAGCUGGAGCACGACAUGCUCGGUCCCGCCAUCGAUGAGCGGGUGAAGGUGCUAGAGGCGCUGCGGGACCAGUCCCUCAUCCAGGACGCCAGCUGGCUCACCGAGGCGCACCGCGGCCUCCUGCAGUCACGCCAGGUGCUGUCGCGCUCCUACGUCUUCGCCUACUACAUGUUCGGCGACGACGACAAGGUGCGGACGUGGCCCGCGAACCGCCACAGCCUGCCCAUCGCGCAGGGCCUCUUCGAGAACUACCAGGAGGAGCUGGAGAGCAACGUGGAGCGCCUCUCCAAGGUGCUCGCCACCGAGUACGGGCCGGUGCCGGACGAGGACGACGUCCGGCGUGACAAGCAGAACGCCAUGAAUCUCACCAAGAUCGUGCAGACGCGAUGCGGGGAGAUCUACAAGUGCAUCCAGGACGAGCUGCUGCCGCUGCUCCUCGACCCCAUGAUCAUCGCCGCCUACCGGCCCCGCGGCCCCGACAAGGCCAAGGAGUUCACGGCCUGA